UACGAAGGGGGCUAGCGUUGUUCGGAAUUACUGGGCGUAAAGCGCACGUAGGCGGAUAUUUAAGUCGGGGGUGAAAUCCCGGGGCUCAACCCCGGAACUGCCUUCGAUACUGGGUAUCUUGAGUUCGGAAGAGGUGGGUGGAAUUGCGAGUGUAGAGGUGAAAUUCGUAGAUAUUCGCAGGAACACCAGUGGCGAAGGCGGCUCACUGGUCCGAUACUGACGCUGAGGUGCGAAAGCGUGGGGAGCAAACAGG
rnacentral:rRNA from 1 species